UGAGCACUGCUGCUGGCUCUCCAGGCUUCUUCACUCUUCUUCAUGGAUGGACCUUGGACCCACACUGCAGGCUCGUGCGAUGCCUUGCCCUGUGGGUUAUCCUCCACAAACUUGUAAACAGCUGUCGGAUUUGAUGUAGAAAUGGGAGAGGGAGAAACUCGUGUUACCACUGUGUCAGAUGCGGGAAGGCGUCCUCUGGUCUCUUUAGACAUGUUAAAAGCAUCUCUUCUGUGACUUCAGUUUAAGGUAGUAUCACCACCUUCUCUGAAAAACAGAGCCGGGUCCACAGCCCGCAGAGGGACACAUCUGAAGGAGCCUGGUUUCGAAGGGAAGAGCUGCCCAAGGCUUGGGCAAGGCCCAUAGCAAAGGCUGAGCCAACCGGUCCCACCUGUAGAGGUGCAUCUGGUGCGCAGGUGUUGCAGCGUCACGCACAGGAACAUCCCUGGCUUUAACUAGCCAGAUUUUCCAUCAGCAGGUUUUGGCCAGCCUUGGGCCAGGUUUGUUGGCUGACUGAAGACGUGACCUGUUUUUACUCCCCGGUGGGUGCCGGCUGCAGCCCACUGGCGCAGGCAGGGCUCUCCAGCAAGCGCUGCUGAGCCACCGUGAGCUUAGCUUUGCUGCGCUGCCCUGGGCUUAGCAGGUUAUUCCUAACGAGCAACGAGCUGGUGAUCCCUCUUAGAUGCAUCCGCCUGGA